CCUACGGGAGGCAGCAGUGGGGAAUCUUGCGCAAUGGGCGAAAGCCUGACGCAGCAACGCCGCGUGCGGGAAGAAGGCUUUCGGGCUGUAAACCGCUUUCAGCAGGAACGAAAAUGACGGUACCUGCAGAAGAAGGAGCGGCCAACUAUGUGCCAGCAGCCGCGGCGAUACAUAGGCUUCAAGCGUUGUCCGGAUUUAUUGGGCGUAAAGAGUUCGUAGGCGGUCGAGUAAGUCGGGUGUGAAAAUUCUGGGCUCAACCCAGAGACGCCACCCGAUACUGCUUAACUUGAGUUCGAUAGGGGAGUGGGGAAUUCCUAGUGUAGCGGUGAAAUGCGCAGAUAUUAGGAGGAACACCGGUGGCGAAGGCGCCACUCUGGAUCGAUACUGACGCUGAGGAACGAAAGCAUGGGUAGCAAACAGGAUUAGAUACCCUGGUAGUCCAUGCCGUAAACGGUGGGCACUAGGUGUGGGAUUCUAUUAACGAAUUCCGCGCCGUCGCUAACGCAUUAAGUGCCCCGCCUGGGGAGUACGGUCGCAAGACAAAACUCAAAGGAAUUGACGGCUUGAAGACGUUGCGAGCGACACGAGGGAGAG
rnacentral:rRNA from 1 species